AGUGAACGCUGGCGGUAGGCCUAACACAUGCAAGUCGAACGGCAGCACAGUAAGAGCUUGCUCUUACGGGUGGCGAGUGGCGGACGGGUGAGGAAUACAUCGGACUCUACUUUUUCGUGGGGGAUAACGUAGGGAAACUUACGCUAAUACCGCAUACGCCCUACGGGUGAAAGCAGUGGAUCUUCGGACCUUGCGCGAUUGAAUGCGCCGAUGUCGGAUUAGAUAGUUGGCGGGGUAAAGGCCCACCCAGGCGCGGAUCCGUAGCUGGUCUGAGAGGAGGAUAAGCGGCACGGGAGGGGGAACAGGGUCAAGACGACUAAGGGAGGGAGCAGUGGGGAAUAUUGGACAAUGGGCGGAAGCAUGAUCCAGCCAUAGCGCGUGGGUGAAGAAGGCGUUCGGGUUGUAAAGACCUUUUGUUGGGAAAGAAAAGCAGCAGGUUAAUACCCAGCUGUUGUGACGGUACCCAAAGAAGAAGCACCGGCUAACUUCGUG
rnacentral:rRNA from 1 species